UGGGGAAUUUUGGACAAUUGGGCGAAAGCCUGAUCCAUCAAUGCCGCGUGUGUGAAGAAGGCCUUCGGGUUGUAAAGCACUUUUGUCCGGAAAGAAAUCCUUGGCUCUAAUACAGUCGGGGGAUGACGGUACCGGAAGAAUAAGCACCGGCUAACUACGUGCCAGCAGCCGCGGUAAUACGUAGGGUGCAAGCGUUAAUCGGAAUUACUGGGCGUAAAGCGUGCGCAGGCGGUUUGCUAAGACCGAUGUGAAAUCCCCGGGCUCAACCUGGGAACUGCAUUGGUGACUGGCAGGCUAGAGUAUGGCAGAGGGGGGUAGAAUUCCACGUGUAGCAGUGAAAUGCGUAGAGAUGUGGAGGAAUACCGAUGGCGAAGGCAGCCCCCUGGGCCAAUACUGACGCUCAUGCACGAAAGCGUGGGGAGCAAACAGGAUUAGAUACCCUGGUAGUCCACGCCCUAAACGAUGUCAACUAGUUGUUGGGGAUUCAUUUCCUUAGUAACGUAGCUAACGCGUGAAGUUGACCGCCUGGGGAGUACGGUCGCAAGAUUAAAACUCAAAGGAAUUGACGGGGU
rnacentral:rRNA from 1 species